UACGGGGGGGGCAAGCGUUGUUCGGAAUUACUGGGCGUAAAGGGCUCGUAGGUGGCCAAUUAAGUCAGACGUGAAAUCCCCAGGCUUAACCUGGGAACUGCGUCUGAUACUGGUUGGCUUGAAUUCGGGAGAGGGAUGUGGAAUUCCAGGUGUAGCGGUGAAAUGCGUAGAUAUCUGGAGGAACACCGGUGGCGAAGGCGACAUCCUGGACCGGUAUUGACGCUGAGGCGCGAAAGCCAGGGGAGCAAACGGG
rnacentral:rRNA from 1 species